GGAGCCCAGCCCGGGCAGGGGCCGGCCGAGCGGCUCCGGGACUGCUCGCCCGCCCGGCCCACACGCUGCCCAACCCCAGGCGCCCCGGGGCUCCGCGGAGGCGCAGGGCGGCUGGAGCCGGGGGCUCCCUGCCUGUAGGGCAGCUCCAUGGCGCUGGCCCGGCCGGGGCUUUCGUGGCGCUCGGGACCCGCCACAAACCAAAUGGUGCCCGGGGGUGGAGCAUGUUUGGCGCCUCCCUCCGGUUGUUAAACCUUUGAAUACCUUAUUUUUGAUGGCGCGUGUAGCCAUUUCACGACUUUGAGGCCCGAACUACGUCCAUGAUCGAGGCCUGUCAUGUACCAGGUGAUAAAUUUGCAGGGAAAUGGCGCAUCAGAGUAAUGAAACAAAAACAGCCCCCCCACCUCCCCAGCAUGGCACCCUAGACCAGCCCCGCAGCCAAACAGACUCCUGAAAAGGGAUGGGGAUGAGGGUGUGGGUAGGGAGGAUGGAGGUGAAAAGAAUGAAUGAAGUAACCAGAUGUGAUGGCCUCCAAAAUAUAAUCUGCUCCUAUGCAGGUUGGAAAUGGGAGAGACGGUCUCUAAAGGGAGGGAGGUCAGCAGGGUGGGGCAGCUGAAGAUUUUGGAGGUGGGGAUGCUCUGGACCCUUGACCAAACCAUCAACGUUGUCACUUGGAUGAAGAGGACAGAUAGGUCAUGGUAGCAGUUAUGGCAUGUAUGUGCCAAGGGACCUGAGAAUGGGCCUGGAAUCCUUCAAAGUAUGGAGAGGUUCUUUGGUGGACCUGGAAAAGAGUUUAAAUCCAUCUAAAGGAAAGUUUUUGGACCUCCCUAGGUAUUUUGGACCUCCCUAGGAAACACAGUUAGCUGUAGCCCACAGUGAGGCUUUUGCUAGGAGUUGACGCUCAGCUAUUAUGGACUUGACCUGGUCACGGUGUUCUGCAGGGAGGUGCUCAAUAAAAUGAUUGGAUUUUUCACAA